rnacentral:lncRNA from 1 species
AAUUUGGACACAGUGGACCCAAAGUUGCAGCAUUUCAUUGAGGUGGAAACUCAGAAGCAGCGCUUCUAGCAGCUGGUGCACCAGAUGACUGGACUUUGUUGGGAGAAAUGCAUGGACAAGCCUGGGCCAAAGUUGGACAGUCCGUCUGAGGCCUGUUUUGUGAACUGCGUUGAACGCUUCAUUGAUACGAGCCAAUUCAUCUUGAAUCGACUGGAACAGACCCAGAAAUCCAAGCCAGUCUUCUCAGAAAGCUUUUCUGACUGAUCUCAGCAUUACCUUUUGGGAAAAAGAAGGUAGUUCAAGAAAGGAAGAGCUAUUGAUGGGAUAGUUGAAGAAUUGACUAUGGGGCAUUGGCCCCCCGUCUUUUGCCACUUGUGGGAUAUCGUGUCACCUGAGAAUAAACAAAGACCAAUUGUUUUUUGUGGGGUUUGAGGGUCAUAUGUGUAUUUGGUUGUGUUUUUUAAUGUUAAUCUUGUAAAAAAAAUUGACAGAAAACUUAGAUGCAUAUUACUGAAUAUAAGACUGCUUUUUCUCAAGGUCUCCUUAACAGCUAUAAUUUUGAUAGUGGAAUUGCUUUCUAUAACUUGAUGUUGGGAUCUCAUAAGUAAAAAUCUCUAUUUGUGUGAAUUUAUUUCAUUGUUUAGGGAGAUCUUUGUGUCUGAAAAGAGGGCAGCGGGAGAGUGUGAUUUGGUACUUAAUUUGGCCUCCUUGUCUAGUUUUUGACUACCAGUGCUGGAAAAAAAAAAUCUUUAGAGUGUUUAUACAGUACACUUCAGCUUUCUAGGUUGUGUCUCUCCCCUUUACUAUGAUUCACUUAAAAAUAUCUAUAUUAAAAUAUGGUCUCAAGGUAGUACAGGCAGCCUGAGAAUCUAGAAGCCUUUAGUUAUAAAGGAAUCUGACCAGUAAACAUGAUUCUCAUUACUAGACAACCACAGGAAGAAGUAAACCUAAAGGAAGAAGUAAACUUGUACUGUACAUCAGGGUAAAAAAAAAAAAAAAAUUCAAAGAUGGUGCCUAAAGAAAUGAUAUCAUUUAGCCCUGUCAGAAACUAAUAACAGUUUUAAGUAGAGAUGCAUACCUGAUGUUAAUCAUUAUAGAUUUAAUUUACUGCAUUCUUUUGACAAUUAAAAUAAAAGUUUCUAUUCUGAAAAAAUAAUGUACUUAUUAUAAUUCUGCUGGAUCUGUUUUGCUA